rnacentral:rRNA from 1 species
AUUGAACGCUGGCGGCAGGCCUAACACAUGCAAGUCGAACGAGUGGCGGACGGGUGAGUAAUGUCUGGGAAACUGCCUGAUGGAGGGGGAUAACUACUGGAAACGGUAGCUAAUACCGCAUACCAUCGGAUGUGCCCUGAUGGGAUUAGCUAGUAGGUGGGGUAACGGCUCACCUAGGCGACGAUCCCUAGCUGGUCUGAGAGGAUGACCGUCCACCCUGGAACUGGGACACGCUCCAGACUCCACCGGGAGGCAGCGGUGGGAAUAUUGCACAAUGGGCGCAAGCCUGAUGCAGCCAUGCCGCGUGAAUGAAGAAGGCCUUCGGGUUGUAAAGUACUUUCAGCGGGGAGGCGGUACCCGCAGAAGAAGCACCGGCUAACUCCGUGCCAGCAGCCGCGGUAAUUC